rnacentral:rRNA from 1 species
AAACUUUCAACAACGGAUCUCUUGGUUCUGGCAUCGAUGAAGAACGCAGCGAAAUGCGAUACGUAGUGUGAAUUGCAGAAUUCAGUGAAUCAUCGAAUCUUUGAACGCACAUUGCGCCCUUUGGUAUUCC